rnacentral:tRNA from 1 species
GGCCUGGUGGUCUAGUAGUAUGAUUCCUUCUUAGGGCAGCAGCUUAUAUGGAGGAGGUCCCGGGUUCAAUUCCCGGCCAGGCCC